rnacentral:tRNA from 1 species
GCCCGUCUGGCCCAAUUGGCAGAGGCGCUUCCCUCAAAAGGAAGUUGUUGCGAGUUCGAGUCUCGCGGCGGGUA